UGUGAAGUCUGUGAAUUCUGUGAAUAAUAUCAGGCCACUCAAUAGUGUAUCUUUUCUGAUUCAGGAACAGUUUAUUAGAAAAGUUUCUCUGUCCCAACUUUUCCUUUUUUGUGCUAUGUUCUGCAGGAUGUGACAGCUUGACAGUUUUCCCAUUGGUUGUGAUGAUACUGUAUAAAAUACAUUAUGAAAUAUACAUAACGUAUCAUAACAUAAUAAAUAUUAUAUAUUAUCUUGUAGUACCUACAUGUAGUCUUUAAGGGUUAAAUGUAGGAUGCACAUUCAGAAUUAAUAGUCAGCAUUAACUGUGGUGUGAUAUGAAAAGAAGUCUAAAGAACAGAAGCAGGACAUGCACACCCCCAAAUCCCAACCUCUAGCAAGAGGAGUUAUCAGACACAAUAACUAUUAAAGGUCUGGAGACAGUACAGAAGAAAAGAGGUUUGCAGAAGAGUGGAGUCAGAAUAUCACUUUUCACAUUACUAUCAUGAAAUCACUCUUUCAAGUCAACAAAUGCAAUUAAACCUCCAGGAUUUUUUUUUUUCCUCUAGAAGUCUAGUGUGCAUGUAGGAUAAGGGCUCCUUUUUAUUUGUUUCUAUAGUCAGAGUACACUUAAUUAUGAAAUCGGUUGCCACAGGACAGAUUUCUUUUCAAUAAGCUCAACUUUUGCCCUCUUAGUGCAAUGUUGCAAAAAAUGUACUACGCUGCCAGCUUUCAAUAAUGCUUUAGUGUAAAAACAGAUCUGUGAGUUAUGUAUCAUUGCAUGAUUUCAAAGGAAAAAAAAAAACAGUGGAGGUCUUCUGAGAGUUUAAGUCUUUUUUGUCUUUUAAUGAAAUGUGUUUCCUACAUAACAGACACCUUUGCACUCAGUUGCAUCUAAACUGAUGUUACAUGAACUGUAUUUGAAGUAGAUCACAGGACUACUUUGGUGCCAGAGACCUUGUGUUCUACUGUUUUUCAUAAAGAAUUGUUUGUUCAUACAGUAUUCCCUAAAUAAUAAAUAUAAAAGGUAAAGAGCUUUUCAAAACCUUCAAACAAACAUGAGUGAGAUUUCAGUUUUAUCAAUAUGAAAGGACCUCCUGCUGAGGUGUGAGACUGCAAUAAAUUAUUAUUGUGCAUUAAUAGAGAUUUUUUGUGUCAAAACAGGUCUUCAAAAAAUUGUACAGGCUGUUUUGUCUCUGGUUGUCAACACUGCAGAAACUGAACACUGUAACACCAAUGGACUUAAAAAAAACUAUGUUAAGCAGUGCAGCCUACAAUGUCUGUUUUUCAAAAGAGAGGUGGCCCAUGAGCUGAAAGAUAAACUGCUGUUCCUGCUCUGAUUUUCAAGAAUGACUGAGUACAUAAAGAUGCUGAGAUGCUCAUCUCCUGCUGCCUUAGGCCAAAUGUUUGGUAGGCUGUCCUGAGCUGGGCAGAGAGGCCGUGGCAGGGUGGGGAUUGUUUAACCUACCUGGAGCUCCAUCUUAGCAUCUUUCUUGCAAGGGAAGGAGGAUAUUGUAGCUUACAACGGAGAAGAAAAUGCAGCUAUCCCUCAACUCUGAACAGCAGAACCCUGGGGACUCAACUGAGGUCAAGGGUCUCAUGCUCCACAUUACAUGGCAACAGGAGGAAGCUCGGACCAUGUGAACCUGGCCUAGCAAAGGGCGAGGAGUGGAAGGAAAACCAGGGACACAGAGGAGAGAAGAAAUAGUCACAGAUCUCACUGCAAGUGACUGAUGCGUGUGCACACUUCACACUAUCAAAAACCAUUUUCCUGCUUUGCUGUUCCUGUGAAUAAUUGACCAGCUGAGCAAGAAGAUGUGUUUAAACAAUUGCCAAGCUGCCCCGAUCUUCAGCACACAACUGGUCAAGUGAACUCCAGCUGUGGGAGCUGAAUAUCACAUCCCAUGUUGUGUAAAUUUCCUGUAUCAGUAGUGCAUAAUUGGCAGUUGCCUGUUUUUCUCUUUAGAUUAACAGGAUGAGAGAAGAUAAUUGUAGCAGCUGGUUAUAGAAGAACAGUCAAUAACCAAACCUAUUUUUGUUUGAAUUUCUAUUAGGAAGUAGACCAGUACUGUAUUUCUUUAUUACUAAGCAGUGAAAAAAGGGAUGUGUGUUUUGAAUUAGGUAGCUCUCCAAUAGAGAAAUCUUCACUACUUCUGCUUGCUUUGCUGGAGAAAAAAGAGAGAGCUGUCUUUUCCCUUCAAACAGAUCUAUUCCCAGACUGCAUAUGAGACUGCCUAGAGAUCUCCUGGACACUGAAGGUGAUCAACAUAAUGUGACUCACAACAGCAGAAGGCUUGGAGUCAGCAGUAUCCUUCAAAAAGAUUGGUGGGAGAAUAAAUGAAAGUAAACAGGAGUGAUAUGUGCAAAAAUAUUUCCUUGUGGUUCUUACUCCUACUUUCUCACAUCUACUGCGGCUCUGCUGGUGACAAAACUCACAAGUUAUUAAAAUUUAAUGUUAUUCAGAAGCAUCUUUCCCUACACAUUCCAAGCACUUUUCAUUUCUCACACCUGUCCUUAGAAGUACUUUCAUUCUUCAAGAAUAGCAGGGGAAUAAAAUAUAUCUAUGAUGUAUAUUAUGUUUAAUAUGUGGUGGCCGAUCUUUAGCUGUGUACUUAAAUGUCACAGAAUAUCAAUUGCUGAGUAUUUUUUGUCUCUCUGAGGUACUUAGAGACUUUUAUUCCAUUUCGAAAAAACUGUAUAUGCUUAUGAACACAGAAGAUAAGGGAUUAUACAAAUUGGAAAAGAUACUGUGCAUUAAGGAUGUGAAAAAUACUCAAAGACACACACUGUGCCAUCAGGACUGCAGCAGCAGCUUCCCUAUGCUCUCUCCAGGGAAGAGGCUGGAAGCAGGGAUGCUCAUGUGGGUGUGUUUUGUGUUACAGUUUGGAGCUUGGCCAUGCCUUUGGGAGAGAAAUACCUUGCUGUGCUGGAGCCCUGAGAUCAUGAAUGACUCAGGCAAAAUAAAAGGAAAAUGCUGUGGCUGUGCACUUCCAAGAAAAGCCAAGAUGCUCUCUCCAAGGCUGGCUAGCUGCUG